rnacentral:lncRNA from 1 species
GGCCACAACUUUAUUCAAAGUACAAAAAUGUGAGUGGUUGCUUAGGCAUUGGUUAUGACUAUCUGUCCUUGCCCCAGGGACAGAGCUGACUUCCGGAUUCCAGCGGAAGCCAGCGUGGGAAACAAGUAUUGGGUGAGAAAAUGAAGCUGGGCAUCAGUCUCACACUUCUCACCCUCAUGUUCCGGUGGGGCUUGCACGGCCCAAGUCCGAUACCAGGGACAAGGACGAAAGAAUGGCAAGCCCCUGGAUUCCUUUAACGGAAUUCCCAUUUCCGCACCACCAUUGGAGGGGUAGGCACUUACCCUCCACCAACCAAAUUUAACCAAUGCCUAACCGCCAACCUUACAAGUUGUGACGAUUUGCUACGCAGUAGGCAAAAACCAAAUGGCACCAGCCAAUCAGCCAAAUGGCAAAAUUCCUACCAGGCCCCCGCACCAAGGCGGACGACCCCAUGACAGGCAUAGCAAGGUCAAGAUCCAAAAAACCCCCCCUUAUUAAAGGGAGGGUGGGCGGGUGAAUCAGUGCAAAAGGCCAAGAGGACGCCCAGUGUUGGACGUCCUGUAUUUAAAGCCUCUGACCCCACCUCCAAAUUGGCAACAUUCAAAACUCCCCAGUAACCCAAAUUAACCACUUAAAGGCUUGGGUUCCUCGCCAAAUCUGCCCAGUAACAGCAGGGUGGCCUGUUCCCCCAACCGCAACACGUGCUCUCUUUUAUGGAGAACACGCUUUGCGUGUUGAGUCCCACAAUGCCACCCCCCAAAGAAUUCACACUUCACACAUCAAUUUUUGUUUAAGGUUUUUGGCAUGAUUUUGGCCACAACUUUAUUCAAAGUACAAAAAUGUGAGUGGUUGCUUAGGCAUUGGUUAUGACUAUCUGUCCUUGCCCCAGGGACAGAGCUGACUUCCGGAUUCCAGCGGAAGCCAGCGUGGGAAACAAGUAUUGGGUGAGAAAAUGAAGCUGGGCAUCAGUCUCACACUUCUCACCCUCAUGUUCCGGUGGGGCUUGCACGGCCCAAGUCCGAUACCAGGGACAAGGACGAAAGAAUGGCAAGCCCCUGGAUUCCUUUAACGGAAUUCCCAUUUCCGCACCACCAUUGGAGGGGUAGGCACUUACCCCUCCACCAACCAAAUUUAACCAAUGCCUAACCGCCAUGGAGCCCUUAGCUCACCGCCAAACCACUCACAGACCCAGCCAAGCCCUCAGCUUAGCCACCACCGCACCUAGCCAAGCCUCGUUCCCUAAGGCCGAAAGGUGCACACCAUCGUCUCUGAAAAAGGAUUCA